UACGUAGGGUGCGAGCGUUAAUCGGAAUUACUGGGCGUAAAGCGUGCGCAGGCGGUUUUGUAAGACAGGCGUGAAAUCCCCGGGCUCAACCUGGGAAUGGCGCUUGUGACUGCAAAGCUGGAGUGCGGCAGAGGGGGAUGGAAUUCCGCGGUGUAGCAGUGAAAUGCGUAGAUAUGCGGAGGAACACCGAUGGCGAAGGCAAUCCCCUGGGCCUGCACUGACGUCAUGCACGAAAGCGUGGGGAGCAAACAGG
rnacentral:rRNA from 1 species